UGGGGAAUAUUGGACAAUGGGGGGAACCCUGAUCCAGCAAUGCCGCGUGUGUGAAGAAGGCCUGAGGGUUGUAAAGCACUUUCAGUGGGGAGGAGGUUUGUUAGAUUAAGAGUUUGACAAAUGGACGUUACCCACAGAAGAAGCACCGGCUAACUCCGUGCCAGCAGCCGCGGUAAUACGGAGGGUGCAAGCGUUAAUCGGAAUUACUGGGCGUAAAGGGUGCGUAGGUUGUUUUUUAAGUUAUCUGUAAAAUCCCUGGGCUCAACCUGGGCAGGUCAGAUAAGACUGAAAGACUCGAGUAUGGGAGAGGGUAGUGGAAUUUCCGGUGUAGCGGUGAAAUGCGUAGAGAUCGGAAGGAACACCGGUGGCGAAGGCGGCUACCUGGCCUAAUACUGACACUGAGGCACGAAAGCGUGGGGAGCAAACAG
rnacentral:rRNA from 1 species